rnacentral:rRNA from 1 species
GAAGGGGACUAGCGUUGUCCGGAAUUACUGGGCGUAAAGUGUACGUAGGCGGAUUAUUAAGUUAGAGGUGAAAUCCCAAGGCUCAACCUUGGAACUGCCUUUAAUACUGAUAAUCUUGAGACCGAGAGAGGUGAGUGGAAUUUCUAGUGUAGAGGUGGAAUUCGUAGAUAUUAGAAAGAACACCAGUGGCGAAGGCGGCUCACUGGCUCGGUACUGACGCUGAGGUACGAAAGCGUGGGGAGCAAACAGGAUUAGAUACCCUGGUAGUCCACGCCGUAAACGAUGGAUGCUAGCUGUUGGGUAGUGUACCAUUCAGUAGCGCAGCUAACGCAUUAAGCAUCCCCGCCUGGGGAGUACGAUCGCAAGAUUA